AGGGGAUGUAGCUCAGAUGG
rnacentral:siRNA from 1 species